rnacentral:tRNA from 1 species
GUCGGGGGUAGCUCAAUUGGUCAGAGCGGCUGACUGUGGAUCAGACUGUGUCGGUUCAAACCCGGCUCCCCGGCACCA